UUCCAGAGUAUAAGUUCUAUGGAAGAUAAGCACAACGAUUGGCUACCAACUAUUCACUUUUCGUAUUUUCACUACGUUUAACUGCAUUUAACGUACACGAUCGACCCCCUGAAGGGUGUGUUUCACAACUUUUUGCAAGUACUGCGAACAUUGUCGUAUCUCUUUUUUCCUUAAUGUAUCUCAGAAGGAUGCAAUAUUGUUCGCAAAACGUGCAGUGAGCUAUGGAACACACCUCUAAUAAUGGACUUAUACGACUGAUUUGAGAAGGCUCCUAUAUGAAAGAAGAGGAAAGAUAAUAGAACCGCUCCUCUGUGCUCCUCGUUCAUACAACGGUAAAUGAUUGAGGAAUCAUGAACUGUACAUUAUUCAGAACUGCUCAUCGUGGUAUUGGGCACUUAUCAAGAAUUGGAUGCUCACAAUGGAUUGUAGAAAAUACCAAGCGCAAUAUGCACUUUUUGAUUAACAAUCAAUCUUCAAUAUCUCUAUCAAACUUAGUUGGUGCUAUGAAAAAAACAUUAUUACCUGUUUCAACUUCCUUUUAUAAUCAACUCUGUGGUAUGAAAAUGAAAGGCAGACUUGAACGCCGUUGCAAAGAUUGUUAUUUUGUGGUCAGGCAAGAAAGAUUGUAUGUUAUGUGUAAAACGCAUCCAAGACAUAAGCAAAUGGCUAUAAAACCCCAUGAAAAAACAAAAAGAAUAUUAACUGUUGCAAUGCAAAGCCCAAAAAGACCUUGGUAGUAAAAUUUAUAAAUAUUAUCAGUAAUAAUAAUCAAUAAAUAUUUGAUUUAUAAUUCAUAAUUGUAUAAAGUUUCAUGUGCAACUCAUUUAAGUUUAUAAAUAACUGAUAUAAAAUUUUUUUUUA